UACGUAGGUGGCGAGCGUUGUCCGGAAUUACUGGGCGUAAAGGGCGCGCAGGCGGCUCGUUAAGUUGGGCGUGAAAUCCCCUGGCUCAACUGGGGGAGGCCGUCCAAUACUGGGGGGCUUGAGUGCAGGAGAGGGAAGUGGAAUUCCCGGUGUAGCGGUGAAAUGCGUAGAUAUCGGGAAGAACACCAGUGGCGAAGGCGGCUCUCUGGCCUGUUACUGACGCUGAGGCGCGAAAGCGUGGGGAUCAAACAGGAUUAGAUACCCAUGUAGUCC
rnacentral:rRNA from 1 species